AUCCAGCUGACGAGUCCCAAAUAGGAAGAAGUGAGCGUCCUGGAU
rnacentral:hammerhead_ribozyme from 1 species